UAAAAUAUAUUGCUGAACUCACACGGUUAGAACAAAGGCAGUAAUUGCAAUCGAAGCCAAGAAUUUGCUAGGUUUAAUCGAGCAGUUGAAAUACAGCAAGAAGAACAGAAUUAAAACGUAAAAGGGACUAAAACAGUCCUUCGAAACAUUGACCGCCAUUGCAGGACCUUGCGGUUUCGUUCCAUUUUCCUACCAAGAGUCGUUAGAAGCACCCAGUUCUGAAUCGAUCGUUACCACCUACAACGAACCUUUGUUGGACGAUAAUAAAAUUCUUACACAACUUAAGGAAAAAUAUAAAGAAACAAGAGACAGCAAUGAGCGAUACAGGACUUUAACUACACUUUCCA